rnacentral:rRNA from 1 species
GACGUAGGGUCCAAGCGUUGUCCGGAUUUAUUGGGCGUAAAGAGCUCGUAGGUGGUUCGCUAAGUCGGAUGUGAAAACUCGAGGCUCAACCUCGGGCUUGCAGUGGGUACGGGCAGACUAGAGUGCGGUAGGGGUGACUGGAAUUCCUGGUGUAGCGGUGGAAUGCGCAGAUAUCAGGAGGAACACCGAUGGCGAAGGCAGGUCACUGGGCCGCAACUGACGCUGAGGAGCGAAAGCAUGGGGAGCGAACAGG